AUGAACGCUGGCGGCGUGCUUAACACAUGCAAGUCGAACGAUUAAGGCAUUCUUCGGAGUGCGUAUAGAGUGGCGAACGGGUGAGUAACACGUGGGUAACCUGCCCCUUUCUCUGGGAUAACCUCGGGAAACCGAUGCUAAUACCGGAUACUCCGAUCGGGUCGCAUGGCCUGAUCGGGAAAGCUCCGGCGGAGAGGGAUGGACCCGCGGCCCAUUAGCUAGUUGGCGGGGUAACGGCCCACCAAGGCUUCGAUGGGUAGCCGAGCUGAGAGGCUGAUCGGCCACACUGGGACUGAGACACGGCCCAGACUCCUACGGGAGGCAGCAGUGGGGAAUCUUGCGCAAUGGGCGAAAGCCUGACGCAGCAACGCCGCGUGCGGGAUGAAGGCCUUCGGGUCGUAAACCGCUUUCAGCAGGGACGAAACUGACGGUACCUGCAGAAGAAGCCCCGGCUAACUACGU
rnacentral:rRNA from 1 species